rnacentral:snRNA from 1 species
GUACUUGCUUUGGCAGGAUAUAUACUAAAACUGGAAUGAUACAGAGAAGAUUAGCGUGGCCCUUGUGCAAGGAUGACAGGUAAAUUUGUGAAGCAUUUCAUAUUUUU